rnacentral:sRNA from 1 species
AACGGCUCAUUUAGGUCGCAUGUUGUAGCUCCUGAGAAGCUUUGUGCGAAGAUUCCAAGUAGUCUCAUUUUCGAAGACGCUGCAACAAUGCCAGCAGUAUUUGGCACGGCAGUCUAUUCGCUACUCCAUCUUGGGGGUUUGCAAAGACAUCAGUCUGUCCUUAUCCAUAGCGCCUGCGGUGGUGUUGGCCUGGCUGCUAUACAGCUUGCGCGCAUGGUCGGCGCCG